rnacentral:tRNA from 1 species
GGAAGGGUGACCGAGCGGUUGAAGGUACCGGUCUUGAAAACCGGCAAGCGAAAGCUUCGUGGGUUCGAAUCCCACCCCUUCCGCCA